rnacentral:rRNA from 1 species
AUGAGGAACCAUGCCACGCCUUACACGGUCAUACUGGCGAUCCUACUGGGCGCCUCGCUCGCGAGCGCGAAGACCCUGCUGCAGCAGCGAGAUGCGCUGACGACCUUCCUGGAGAGCAGGGCCAAGACGGUCGCGACCGGUGCUGUCAACCCGGACACGUGGGCCGACCCUGACAGCAGCUUCAGGCACCUGCCCAUGAGCGGCCCGAGCGCGCCGCCCGGCGCCAGGGAGGCCGACAGGAUCGCGGCGCUGCCCGGCCAGCCGCCGCGCGUCAACUUCGACCAGUACUCCGGUUACGUCACGGUGAGCGAGCAGCACGGCCGCGCGCUCUUCUACUACUUCGUGGAGGCCGCGUACGAGGCCUCCUCCAAGCCGCUCGUCCUCUGGCUCACCGGCGGGCCUGGGUGCUCCUCGCUGGGGGCCGGCGCCAUGCAAGAGCUCGGCCCGUUCCGCGUGAACCCCGACGGCAAGACCCUGAGCAGAAACAGACACGCCUGGAACAAUGUGGCAAAUGUGAUCUUCCUGGAGUCGCCGGCCGGCGUGGGGUUCUCGUACUCGAACACGUCGUCGGAGAACCACGAGAGCGGGGACACGAGGACCGCCGUGGACGCCUACAUCUUCCUGCUCAACUGGCUGGAGAGGUUCCCGGAGUACAAGGGCCGGGACUUCUACAUCGCUGGCGAGAGCUACGGCGGCCACUACGUCCCCCAGCUCGCCACCGUCAUCGUCGCCCUCCGCAACCUCGGCGCCACAAGCAUGAACCUCAAGGGGAUCUUCGUUGGCAACCCGUACCUUGAUGACUACAAGAACACGAGGGGACGGUACGAGUUCUUGUGGAACCACGGCGUGAUGUCGGACGAGGUGUGGGGCAACAUCAGCGCGCACUGCAGCUUCGGGCGGUUGGAGGGCAAAGCGUGCGGCCAAGCCAAGGCGUCCUUCAGAACCGGCGACAUUGAUCGUUACAACAUCUACGCUCCCGUCUGCAUCAGGUCGCGAGACAGGAGCCUCCACUCCAGUGGCUACUUAGCAGGCUAUGAUCCGUGCAUCGGGUACUAUGUGGACGCCUACUUCAACAAUCCUGAGGUGCAGAAGGCAAUGCAUGCUCGAACCAACACUGACUGGUCAGAAUGCGCUAACUUAAUUUGGACCGAUGCCCCAAUUUCCAUGGUGCCAACCAUUGAUUGGCUUGUCAACAACGGAUUAAGAGUCUGGCUGUACAGUGGUGACAUGGAUGAUGUCUGCCCGAUUACCGCGACGAGGUACUCUGUCAAGGAUCUCAAUCUGACAAUCACAAACCCCUGGCGUCCAUGGUACACCCCAGACAGUGAGGUUGGAGGCUACGCUCAGCAAUACAAGGGAGGAUUCACAUUUGCGUCAGUGAGAGGAGCUGGCCAUAUGGUUCCUAGCUUCCAGCCUAAAAGAUCACUUGUUCUUUUCUACUCCUUCAUGAAAGGCGUUCUGCCACCUGCGGUCCCAGAAUUGAACGCCUGA